rnacentral:lncRNA from 1 species
AUAUAUAGAUUUCUUUUAUAUUUUUUUAAUAAUCCGUAGCAAAACCGUAGCUACAUAUAGGUAUUUUUUUAUUAUUUUUUUAAUAAUCCGUAGACAAAACCGUAGCUACAUAGUAGGUUAUUUUUUUAUUUUUUUAAUAAUCCGUAGCAAAACCGUAGCUACAUAUUAGGUUAUUUUUUUAUUUUUUUAAUUAAUCCCGUAGACAAAACCGUUAGACUACUAUAUUAGGUUAAUUUUUGUUUUAUUUUUUUAUUACUCUGUAGCAAAGCCGUAGCUACAAAUAGGUAUUUUUUUAUUUUUUUUAAUUAAUCCGUAGCUAUAUACAAGUACAUUUUUUNUUUUUUUUUAACUUUCCGUAGUAAAACCGUAGCUAUAUAUAGAUUUCUUUUAUAUUUUUUAAUAAUCCGUAGCAAAACCGUAGCUAUAUAUAGGUAUUUUUUUAUUUUUUUAACUUUCCGUAGUAAAACCGUAGCUAUAUAUAGAUUUCUUUUUAUAUUUUUUUAAUAAUCCGUAGCAAAACCGUAGCUACAUAUAGGUAUUUUUUUAUUUUUUUUAACCUUCCGUAGUAAAACCGUAGCUAUAUAUAGUAUUUUUUUAUUUUUUUUAAUAUUCCGUAGCAAAACCGUAGCUACAUACCGGCAUUGUUUUUAGUAUUCAGUAGUAAAACCGUAGCAAUAUAUAUACUUUUUAUUUUUAUUUUUUUAAUAUUUCACAGUAAAACCUGUUUCUAAUAAAUACAAAAUCAAUGCAAUAUUUAAAUUAAUAAUCAUCUCAAAAUCAAACUAAUAAAAU